rnacentral:misc_RNA from 1 species
AAACAACAAAAAUUCUUACCAAGAUUAAUAGAUUAGGCUAAAAUUGAUAAAAUUUAAUAAAAUUGAAAAGAAAGAGAAGUUCAGGGUUUUUUUAGGGGUUUUUUUAUCAUAAGACUGAAACUUUUUUGCCACUUUGUUAUAUUUUUCAAGGGUUAAAAAAGAUACACAAACAUAUUUUCUUAUUUAAAAAAUAGCAACAUUGAUGAUAGGAGUGAAGAAAAACGAAAGAUAAACUAAAAGGGGUGUUUGUUCUGGCCAUUAGAGGCCAACUAAUAGCUAAGCCAAUGUGUUUUGUAAAUAAAAUAUCUUAUCGAUUAGUUUAUGAUUACAAAAAUACCAAA